rnacentral:rRNA from 1 species
UUUCCAGAGAUGGAUUGGUGCCUUCGGGAACUGUGAGACAGGUGCUGCAUGGCUGUCGUCAGCUCGUGUUGUGAAAUGUUGGGUUAAGUCCCGCAACGAGCGCAACCCUUAUCCUUUGUUGCCAGCGAUUAGGUCGGGAACUCAAAGGAGACUGCCAGUGAUAAACUGGAGGAAGGUGGGGAUGACGUCAAGUCAUCAUGGCCCUUACGACCAGGGCUACACACGUGCUACAAUGGCGCAUACAAAGAGAAGCGACCUCGCGAGAGCAAGCGGACCUCAUAAAGUGCGUCGUAGUCCGGAUUGGAGUCUGCAACUCGACUCCAUGAAGUCGGAAUCGCUAGUAAUCGUGGAUCAGAAUGCCACGGUGAAUACGUUCCCGGGCCUUGUACACACCGCCCGUCACACCAUGGGAGUGGGUUGCAAAAGAAGUAGGUAGCUUAACCUUCGGGAGGGCGCUUACCACUUUGUGAUUCAUGACUGGGGUGAAGUCGUAACAAGGUAACCGUAGGGGAACCUGCGGUUGGAUCACCUCCUUAC